rnacentral:lncRNA from 1 species
AGGGGGCAAAGUACUGCUGAAGCACCACUUGGGGAAAACCAACCAGAUUUUGGUAAAAACACGGAUUUCAGGGUAGGAAACCAACCGGAUUUUGGUAAAAACACGGAUCUCAGGGUAGGAAACCCCCCUGAUUUUGGUACAACCCCAGAUCUCAGGGUGGGCUCCCAUUCCCCCCUGAUUUUUGGGAUUUUUUUCCCCUCUCCCCCCUCAGACAUCCGCCUGCGGGUGCGAGCCGAGUACUGCCAGCACGACUCCGCCCUGCAGGGCAACGUCUUCUCCAACAAGCAGGAGCCCCUGGAGCGGCAGUUCGAGCGCUUCAACCAGGCCAACACCAUCCUCAAGUCCCGCGACCUGGGCUCCAUCAUCUGCGACAUCAAGUUCUCCGAGCUCACCUACCUGGACGCCUUCUGGCGGGAUUACAUCAACGGCUCCCUGCUCGAGGCCCUCAAGGGCGUCUUCAUCACGGACUCGCUCAAACAGGCCGUGGGCCACGAGGCCAUCAAGCUGCUGGUCAACGUGGACGAGGAGGAUUAUGAGGUGGGGCGCCAGAAACUCCUGAGGAACUUGAUGCUCCAAACGGCUCCCUGAGGGGAGGAGGGGGGGGGUUGCUUUUCCCUUUUUUCCUUUCUUUUCCCUUUUUUUCUUUCUUUUCCCUUUUUUUCUUUCUUUUCCCUUUUUUCCUUUCUUUUCCCUUUUUUUCUUUCUUUUCCCUUUUUUCUUUCUUUUCCCUUUUUUCCUUUCUUUUCCCUUUUUUUCUUUCUUUUCCCUUUUUUUCUUUCUUUUCCCUUUUUUCCUUUCUUUUCCCUUUUUUUCUUUCUUUUCCCUUUUUCCUUUCUUUUCCCUUUUUUUUCUUUCUUUUCCCUUUUUCCUUUCUUUUCCCUUUUUUUCUUUCUUUUCCCUUUUUUUCUUUCUUUUCCCUUUUUUUUCUUUCUUUUCCCUUUUUUUCCUUUCUUUUCCCUUUUUUCUUUCUUUUCCCUUUUUUUCUUUCUUUUCCCUUUUUUUCCUUUCUUUUCCCUUUUUUCCCCCUCCUCUUUUCCCGCCUUUUUUGUUUUCCCGCCUUUUUCCUUUUCCCACCUUUUUUGUUUUCCCGCCUUUUUUUUCCCUCCUUUUUUGUUUUCCCUCCUUUUUUUCUUCUUCCCCCUUUCCCCACCUUUUAUUUUCCUGCCUUUUUUUCCUCCUCCCCCCUUUUUUUCCCUUUUUCCCCCUUUUUUUCCCCCUUUCCCCCCCUUUUCCCCUCAGAGUUUCUUUCUCUGGAUUUUCCUCCUCCUCCUCCUUUUUCUUCUUCUCCUUCAGGUUUUUUUGGGGUUGUUUUCCCAGAGGCAAUCCCGGUGGGAUCUGGGGGGUCGGAGGUGUGUGGGGAGCGCUGGAAUAUUCUGGAAUUCCACCCUUUCUGCCCCGUCCCUUCCUCCUCCUCGUCUUUUCCAUGUUUUUCCCCCCCCAAUUUUCUUUUGUAUCCGUUAAAAACCCCCAAAAAAGGCAAAAAUCCCCUCGGAUGGCCCGAGGGACCCGGCGGGAUUGGGGGCUCGGAGCUGCAGGGAGCCCUGGAAUCUCGGAAUAUUCCAGAAUUCCUCCCUUUUCCCGCCUCAACUCCUCGUGUUUUCCACGUUUUUCCCCCCGUUUUCUUUCGUGUCCAUUAAAAACAACAACAAAAAAAAAAGGCAAAAAUCCCGUUGGUUCCCCUGAGGGUGGGAUUUUGGGGGAGGGGGAGCACCGGAAUAUUCUGGAAUUCCGCACUUUUUGCCCUGUCGGUUCCUCCUCCUCGUGUUUUCCAUGUUUUUCCCCCCCCCAAUUUUCUUUUGUACCCAUUAAAAAACCACCAAAAAAAAAAAGGCAAAAAAGCCCCUGUUGCUGCCACACGGUGGGAUUUGGGGGGUUGGAGCCGCAGGGAAGCCCUGGAAUAUUCUGGAAUAUUCUGGAAUUCCUCCUCACUUGGGCCCUGUCGCUUCCUCCCUCUCCUUGUGUUUUCCAUGGUUUUUUCUCCCCCUAUUUUUCUUUUAUAUUCAUUAAAAACAAACAAAACAAAAAAAAGGCAAAAAUCCCCUUGAGUUCCCUUGGGGGGGUUUGGGGUUGGAGAUCCAGUGGAAUAUUCCAGAAUCCCUCGCUUUAUUCCUGUCAAACUCCUUCCUCUCCUCGUGAUUCCCGGGGGGUUUUCCCUCUUUUUCCCACCUUUUCUUUCCCAUCCACUAAAAACAACAACAAAAAAGGGCCAAAUUCCCAGGUUUUGGGGUGAUUUUCCCCUCAGUUUGUCCUCAAUUUUUCCCGUUUUCCCCCCAAAUUUCAUUUUUCCCCUAGAGGGUUUUCCAGGAUUCACCCAAAAAAUUGCAAUUAAGCCCCCCAAAAAUGGCCUUUUCCCAGAAAAAAUGGCCACUUCCCUCCUAAAACAGUUGUUUUAACCCCAAAACUGUCCAUUUUCCUAAAAAAAAUCCCAUUAUUCACCAAAAAUAACCAUUUUCCCCCAAAAAAUUCCUAUUAUACGCCAAAAAAUAACCAUUUUCCCCCCAAAAUGGCCUUUCUCACCCCCUAAAAAUGGCCAUUAUACCUCAAAACUGGCCAUUUCACCCCAAAAAAAUGGCAUUGCACACCAAAAAUUACCAUUUAAUCACUAAAAACGGCCCCCCCUCCCCAACAAUUCAGCCACGUUUUGGGGUCAUUUCCUGUCAUUUCUGUAUUUUUAAAAUCACAGCAGAACAAAAAUCCCCCCUCGAGGCUCCUCCUCCCUCCAGGACCCCCCAAAUUAGGGAGGGACCCCCAAAAAGAGGGCAGGACCCCCCCAAAAAUAGGGGGUGUGGCUUCAGUGCUUGGGGGGGGGAGCCCAUUUUGGGGGAAAAGGGGCUGAUUUAGGGCAAAUUGGGGCAAAAUAGGGAUUUUUAGGGCAUCAGUGUCACCCCUGGGGUGACCCCAAAAAGGGGGUGACCCCCAGGGAAGGGGGGGACCCCAAAAAGAGGGGGGCACCCCAUUGCUGGGGUGCUGAGCAGGUUGUGGGGCUGCAUUUUGGGGAGAAAGGGGCUGAUUUGGGGCAGGUUUGGGGCAGACUUAGAGGAGAUUUGGAGCUGAUUUGGGGCAGAUUUGGGGCUGAUUCAGGGCAGACUUAGAGGAGAUUUGGGGCAGAUUUGGGGAUGGUUUGGGGCAGGUUUGGGGCUGACUUAGAGGAGAUUUGGAGCUCAUUUGGGGCAGAUUUGGGGCUGAUUCAGGGCAGAUUUAGGGCAGAUUUGGGCUCAAAUGCAGGUUUU